rnacentral:rRNA from 1 species
UACGAAGGGGGCUAGCGUUGCUCGGAUUGACUGGGCGUAAAGGGCGCGUAGGCGGUUCGUACAGUCAGACGUGAAAUUCCUGGGCUCAACCUGGGGGCUGCGUUUGAUACGUGCGGACUUGAGUGCGGAAGAGGGUCGUGGAAUUCCCAGUGUAGAGGUGAAAUUCGUAGAUAUUGGGAGGAACACCAGUGGCGAAGGCGACUUCCUGGCCUGUUCUUGACGCUGAGGCGCGAAAGCUAGGGGAGCAAACGGG